CCCAAUGCUCUGCAUUAGAAUAAAUUGUUUCGUUAGAUUUCAAUAUAUUUGUCUCUAAGAUUUUGAGAGAGAGAGAAACUACUAUCUACUUUAUGCUCUGGGUAGAGUGAUAAAAAUAAUAAAGCUUUGUUUCUCAUCUUCUGGGUCAUUUUCUCUGGUUGUUUGGAGGCGUGAAUUUCCAGAACAAAGAAAGCAAGCUGUGAUUAAAAUUACAGCCACAUCCUGCUGAAGCCCGGGUGCAUGUGGUGUGUUCAAGGGACAAAGUCCUCCACCUGCUGGUCUCAGGCCACCUCUGCAGCUCACAAACACAGAAAAGAUUGGGUAACCAUUUCGUCAAAAAUCUAAAACAACAUCUGGUGAAAACUCGGAGUUGAGGGCAGCCUCCGGUUUUUAUCUUACACUGGAAAUGCACUGUGAUUAGUGACUGGGCGCCAUUCAAGAGGGAGGAAAUAAAAGAAACGUUAUCAUUUCUCUUCUAAGCAGAUCCAAGAUGCUCUUUCCUUCCUGCAGCCGGACUUCAGGUCUGGACUCCUCAUUGUAUCCGUCUGUUUGUGUUUGUUUGCGUUAGCAUUUUCUGAUGGUCUAUCCUCUAUUUGUUGGGAAUGUGGUGCUUCAGUCUUACAGCUCUUGAUAGAGAUCUAGACCUGACCUUUUUGGUUGCUUCGCAGUGAGCACAGAGCUUCACAGACAGUGGACGUUCACUCAGUGACUGCUUUGUUGGUAUUUCCAGCUGAUCAAAACUUCCGGAUCUCCUUUCAUCCUGGAUGGGAUGUGACCUUAGGGAAGCCGUACCCAGGUCAGACUGUAAAGUGAGCAUGGUCCUCAUCAGCAUAUGCAUUGCAUCUAAGUGUAAGAAAGAUGGGGAAGUACCAGAUCUGUAAUCCACCUAAGGCAAGAUAUGCAAAGAAGUCCUGUGCUAGUGCAGGGAAUAAGCCUUCAGACUCUCAGACUUGACCUUGAAAAUAUUAAAAGGAAGCUAUUUUCUGUCUUGAUUUUUUAAAAUAGCUUUUAAGCUAAGAAAGAUUACCCUUCCAUAGCUAAGCACUUUACUGUUAAGGCUUUAAAGAUAAACAAAUCAGAGGGAUUAAAUACUUGGCAUUUAUGAAUGUGAGGUUUUUUUAAGUCUUUAGAUUUGCUCUCUCCAUGGAGCAAGGUCCUACACACCAACAUGGGUUAGGCAGGAGUCUCUCUGCUUCUGUUUUUAAUUGAUGUUGUUUUAUUUGUUUCCUUGUGGUGCUGGGGGAGAUCCACAGGACCUGCACAUGGCAGAUGAGUGCUCUAUCCCUGAGCUGCGUCCCUAGCCCUGGGAGUCUCCUGUGCGCAAUCAGUUGAGAGCAAAGAGCCGGUCAAGAUGUGGCUGCCAAGGGCAGUUUGCUUUCACCAAGGUCCCGAGACAGCGGAAUGGGAAGUGGGCAACGUGUCCUCUGAGGUCUGGACAAGUGGUUCAGCCAUUCACAGAAGCCUUUUCAUGACGGCAGUGGGAGAAGCCAUGAAGAAGAGGGUGUAAUACAAGGUCUUUGUCAGUGCUACGAGCUUGUGGGCGACUUAGAGCUGCUGCCCUUUUAGGAAGCCAUAGUUUCUGCCCGGGAAAGGCCUAAAGGUUCUCUCAGGAUCCUAGAAUCGUCAAGUAUACGAGGGAUCUUCUGUCUCCACCUCCUCAGCUCUACACUGCCUGACUUUUCUGUGUUCUGGGGCUCCACCUCAGAUCUUCACAUGCAUGGCGGGCACCUUCCCUCCUAAGUUAUCUCCACAGCCCAGUCACAUCUGCUUUCACAUGGUUGGUGGCAUGGUUACUCCUCACACUCCAUAGCUGGAACAUUUUGGCAUCCAAUUGCUUUUCUCCGGGUAGAAGAGAUGUUCAAAUGGGGGUAUGAGGUGGGCUCAAUGAUUAGACACCAAACCAAGAAAAUAAUACAGCCAUUGUUAUCUUUGCUCCCUACGAG